UAGGAUCUGUUAGACAGUAGGAGGUGUGCACACAGGAUCUGUUAGACAGUAGGAGGUGUGCACACAGGAUCUGUUAGAUAGUAGGAGGUGUGCACACAGGAUCUGUUAGACAGUAGGAGGUGUACACACAGGAUCUGUUAGACAGUAGGAGGUGUGCACACAGGAUCUGUUAGACAGUAGGAAGGGUGCACACAGGAUCUGUUAGACAGUAGGAAGGGUGCACACAGGAUCUGUUAGACAGUAGGAGGUGUACACACAGGAUCUGUUAGACAGUAGGAGGUGUACACACAGGAUCUGUUAGACAGUAGGAGGUGUGCACACAGGAUCUGUUAGACAGUAGGAGGUGUGCACACAGAAUCUGUUAGACAGUAGGAGGUGUGCACACAGGAUCUGUUAGACAGUAGGAGGUGUGCACACAGGAUCUGUUGGACAGUAGAAGGUGUGCACACAGGAUCUGUUAGACAGUAGAAGGUGUGCACACGGGA